ACGGAGGCUAUCAGAUGCUCUAUCAGAUGCUCGGAGAGGCAAGGAGAGAUUCAAGGAUGGGUCCUGAGAGGACAGAAGAGAGCAGCCCCUUUGGAUUUUCUCUGUGGGAGCAGAAAGCCUCGUCUUUCUCAUGUGGAACGACAGAACCAGGGUGCAUCAUGGAGCGGAUUCUUUCUCCUGUGGGGUCUCCUGGUGCAUCCCACUCCUCUGGCCCAGGGACAUCCUGCUGCAGAACGCUGGAGGACGAAGACCAGGCCCGGCUAAGCCUGCUCCCAUGAGGUCCAACCGCACCACGUGAUGUGAGCCAGUGCCCAUCCUCAGCCCUGGACACCAACAACUGUGUCGUCUUAUCCCAGAUCCUGGGGACAGAAUACAUGCGUUUUCAUGACAAGACAAACUGUUCUGUGGCAAGCAUCGUGGAAGUCCUGAUCAGCACUCAGAAAGAACGGUACUGCUUCAUCCGAUGCCACAUGCCUUUGAGCAAAGGGCUCAAGGUAAAUUUAAGUAGCACCAUGGUUUCUGAAGACCCAUUAUCAUGAAUUCCAGCUGCACUGUGCCAUUCACAGACUCUAAAAGACUGCUAUUUACUUUUUCUACUAUUUUAAAAGGCAAUUUUUAAAAAUUUAUUUUUUUAGAUUUCUUUCUCCUCAGGCCUCCUAAAUAAUGGUUGUGUGUUUCCUCCUUAAUGGGAUGGAGCGAGCUCUUUGCUGCUGACUCUAUUGAUCAGGUUCAAGUUCAUGGUAGUGGUUUGUUUGAAGUAGAUUUUUUGUAUAUGUGUGUCUGAGCGAUAAAAGUCAUGCAAAGAGACAGGUGGCACAGUCCUCUGAGUUCUUGCUGUGACCAAGAAGCCUUUAUUGUUUCUACUUUGGGAAAGGA